UACGAAGGGGGCUAGCGUUGUUCGGAAUUACUGGGCGUAAAGCGUAUGCAGGCGGAUCGUUAAGUCGGGGGUGAAAUCCCGAGGCUCAACCUCGGAACUGCCUUCGAUACGGGCGACCUUCGAGUCCGGGAGAGGUGAGUGGAACUCCGAGUGUAGAGGUGAAAUUCGUAGAUAUUCGGAAGAACACCAGUGGCGAAGGCGGCUCACUGGCCCGGUACUGACGCUGAGAUACGAAAGCGUGGGGAGCAAACAGG
rnacentral:rRNA from 1 species